UAGGAAGGAGAAAAUGGGUGUUGGUAUAGGUCCCUCCAAGACUUGGAGUAAAGUAGAGGUCAGAAAGAUGAAGGAGAGUGAGAGUUCUGAAUCGGAUGAGGAUGUCGAAUAUGAUGUCUCGGACAUUUCCCCUGUUAAAAGGAAGCCUGUAAAGAAGUCUCCAAACAAAGUGGUUGUUGUUCAUCUUGACAAUAUCUCGUUUCACGUGGAAGGUGGUGCUGCCAAAUGGAAGUUUGUGACUCAAAGAAAAAAAGGAAGCCUGUAAAGAAGUCUCCAAACAAAGUGGUUGUUGUUCAUCUUGACAAUAUCUCGUUUCACGUGGAAGGUGGUGCUGCCAAAUGGAAGUUUGUGACUCAAAGAA
rnacentral:lncRNA from 1 species